rnacentral:rRNA from 1 species
UACAGAGGGUGCGAGCGUUGUUCGGAAUCACUGGGCGUAAAGGGCGCGUAGGCGGUCUCUUAAGCGUGUGGUGAAAGCCCGGGGCUCAACUCCGGGUCGGCCGUGCGAACUGGGGGACUGGAGCUUGUCAGAGGCAGGCGGAAUUCCGGGUGUAGCGGUGGAAUGCGUAGAGAUCCGGAAGAACACCGGUGGCGAAGGCGGCCUGCUGGGACAGUGCUGACGCUGAGGCGCGACAGCGUGGGGAGCAAACAGG